AGGAAAAAAAAUUCCUCUGUAGAAUCAACUAAAAAAAAAAAUUAAUGUCCAGUAUUUGGGAAAGAGAAUGAAUGAUAAUGCCGGAUUGAGUCAGCAACCCAGUAAAUUCAAAUUUCAACCCUACCACAUCCAACCCAUGCUGCCUUGGGCAAAUUAUUUAACUUUUCUGUGCCUUAAUUUUCUCAUGUCUGCCUACCUAAGGACUGUCGUGGGAAGAUUAAAUGCGUGUAAAACACUUAAGUCAGCGCCUUACUCUUAACACACUCUUAAUUGUUAUUAAUACGAGAAGGGUUUUUUUUGAGAAGGGAGGAAGGGGCGCAAAGUGGAAUGGUCUUUGGUACAUUUUUGCUACAGGGUGGUAAGAUUCUGAAACAGAGGAUAUAGUCACAGCGAGAACUGGAGUAAGAAGUGGUGGUGGGGGCAUCACGUUUUCCCGGUGAGUUAUCUGAGAGCCCGUCACACCUGCAGGAAGCGGAAGGCCUGAGAAGUGUCAGAGCAAGAACACACCCUCCACGGUGCAUCUGAGAAGUAGGCGGCCGUCGAAGAUUAGCGCUAACUGCUAUGAGCGCUUUUAUGACAAAUGACACAUCUUCUGGGGGAAACUCAGAGCUUGGGAGCGGCGUCAUUAGCGGGGGACGGGGGGGGGCUCCCAACAGUCCCCUCGGGGUGACCGAGGGGUCGCUGAGGAAAGAGUGACGUGAGAAGAAAAUGGCGGCGCGACCUCUAUCGUUUUGCCUUCACAGUCUUUCUCGCCACAGCCCCGGCUGGAACGGUCACUUACUGGAAACUGCGGAGAAGCAAUAUAUUUGGUCCGGCUUGACAGCCCCAACCUGACCGAGAGUGCCGGAGACCCAGCGCUGCUCGCGCCGGGAAACCCAACGUCGGACGGAGCAGGGCUGCGCACGGAUGAGACGCGGGGAACGUCAGAGCGGAAAUGUCCCACUUACGCCACAGAGUGGUGCGGGACAGAAGUGGCUCUUCCAGUUGCGCGAGACUUUGUUGGGGGCUGCGGGCACGGUGGGAGGGGAGGGCACCCGGAAGGGCGCGGGACUCAGGCUGCGGCUUUUCUGUCCGCGGCUGUACCCCUCGCGAAGCGUUUUCACGCACCUGUGAGGAACCUCACACCCUGGGCGCCAAAUGGCAAAGAUUUCCAGGGAUUUGUUUGGGAUUCCGUAGUUUUGUAGAUUUGCCAAGAUUUGAUAGUAGUACAAUAUUGAGAAUUCCCACCCAGCAAUGGGGCUUUUAUUAUUAUUAUUAUUAUUCAGUUCUUUUCUUUAGAGGCCAGUCUCCUGAUUCACUCCUGCUCUGCCAGAAGUUGGAGAAUGAGAUGGAAUAGGCCCACCUCUUCUGGCCUGAGCUCUACAGGUGGAACAGAAGGCCCUGAGUAAGGCCUAAACGCUUGACUGCUCUCUCAGGUGGAAAAGAUUAAUAAAACUACUACUCCCUUUCUCUGAGUGUGUAUAUACAAGGACUACAGAUGCUCUCAAUGAAUCUGCAAUCAAGUGAUUAAUACUGGCCCAACAUUAAUUAAAACCCU